CCUGCGGAAUUGCUGGCGCCUUAUACCGGUGAUAUUGCUGCCGAAGGUAUCAGCAAAACGCUGCGUGGUGGUGCGAAGUUUCUAUAUCAUGGCAUUCAGCGCCAGCAACGUUAUGUGGCGGAAGCGAUUACUGAAGAGUGGCGUAUGGCGCCGGGUCCGCUGGAAGUCGCCUGGUUUGCGGAAGAGACGGCUGCCGUUGAGCGUGCUGUAGAUGCCCUGGCCAAACGGCUGGAAAAACUGGAGGCA
rnacentral:sRNA from 1 species